rnacentral:rRNA from 1 species
UUAGUCUCGCACAGAUGCAUAUCAAUAAGCGGAGGAAAAGAAACUAACAAGGAUUCCCUCAGUAACGGCGAGUGAAGCGGGAAGAGCUCAAAUUUGAAAUCUUGAAAGGUCACCUUUCACGAAUUGUAGUUUAAAGAAGUGUUUUCUGUUACGAUCGUAAUAUAAGUUCUUUGGAAUAGGACAUCACAGAGGGUGAGAAUCCCGUCUAUGAUUGCGAUUUGUAGCUUUGUGAUACACUUUCAAAGAGUCGGAUUGUUUGGGAAUGCAGUCCAAAAUGGGUGGUAAAUUUCUUCUAAGGCUAAAUAUUGGCGAGAGACCGAUAGCGAACAAGUACCGUGAGGGAAAGAUGAAAAGAACUUUGAAAAGAGAGUUAAAUAGUACGUGAAAUUGUCAAAAGGGAAGCGUUUAACACCAGUGUUGUUUUCUGAAAAUCAACCUCUGUUAGCUUUAUGCAUGUUUGUUUAGACCUAAUCAGCUAUCUUGCAUGUUCUAUUGUUUGCAGUGGUGCACUUUUCAGUUUACAGGUCAACAUCAGCUUUUUUUUACCGUAAAAAAGUUAAAGAAAGGUAGCUCAUGGCUCCGGUCGUGAGUGUUAUAGUCUUUUUCCUAUGCGGUAGGAGAGACUGAGGUCUGCAGUGUAGGCUAUUUGGCUAGAUACUCAGGUGCUAUGUGAUACCAUUUCAUAAACAACUUGUUGAUUAUGUUUUGUCUAUUGCAUACUCGCUUGUACUAUCAUACCUACGCUUAGGAUGUUGAGUCGUAGAGCACGCAG